rfam:Tupaia chinensis contig201139, whole genome shotgun sequence.
AAAAAAAAGAAAAGGCUAUGGCUGGUUAUGGCCACAGGUUCUCCAACUGCAUGCAAGAGCGACCUGGAGAGACUCUAACAGCCCAGGCCACACAGCACCUGCAGCUGCCACUCACCUUUCCUGUAGCG